ensembl:miRNA MIR548BA microRNA 548ba
AAAGGUAACUGUGAUUUUUGCUAUUAGAAAGUAAUGGCAAAAACUGCAAUUACUUU